ACCGAGAUCAAACAGUAGACCAAUCGAUACCAGUGCUGAAAAAUUUAAAUUGAAAAUUAGAAAUCAAGAACAAAGUUUUUGGCCAUACAUAAUGAAAAUUUUUAUCAGAUUGUGCUGUUCAUUUGUACAUAGGCACUAAGUCCAACAUCUCACCUGACGGAUAUAAGGAAAUUUGAAGCCCUAGAGGUGGCACCGACAAAUUUGUUGAGGCAGGUGAUGGCCAGGAACAUGAAGAACUGCUUACUGCAGUCAACAGGACACUUCCCAAACACGACCGAACUCCACGGCAGAGAUUGGGAGUCAUCUGAACUACUAUUCCCUGAACUCCAGUUCAGCGACAUUGUUUCAUUCGCACUUGGUAUGCAUGAGCAGUUGCUGUACGACUGAUUUAAAAAAUGAAUACAUUUAGCUGUCAUUCUAUUCUAACAUUACGGAUGGAAUAAUUUGUGACUCAGGAAAAUGUCUUAAGUUAAAGCUUAACUCGAAAUGAAUGAAGCAGACUUAUUUGAGAGGGCAUCGUGCGACUGCAUGGGUGCGUAAUGAAUCAUAAUCAAAGAAAUACCAUUUUUCCACUAUUUUCAUCCGCACCACAAAUACAAAUUGUACAUGCUAAGGUAAAUUAUCUUACCUUGCGUAAUUGAUUUCCAUUUAAAAAAACUUGUAUUUUCAAUCAUUUUUCCAAAAAAAAUAAAAGUUUAUAAAAUCAUC